GACGAACGCUGGCGGCGUGCUUAACACAUGCAAGUCGAACGGUGAAGCGAGUGCUUGCACUCGUGGAUCAGUGGCGAACGGGUGAGUAACACGUGAGUAACCUGCCCAUCACUCUGGGAUAAGCACUGGAAACGGUGUCUAAUACUGGAUACGACCAACCCUUGCAUGGGGUGUUGGUGGAAAGAUUUAUCGGUGAUGGAUGGACUCGCGGCCUAUCAGCUUGUUGGCGGGGUAAUGGCCCACCAAGGCGACGACGGGUAGCCGGCCUGAGAGGGUGACCGGCCACACUGGGACUGAGACACGGCCCAGACUACUACGGGAGGCAGCAGUGGGGAAUAUUGCACAAUGGGCGAAAGCCUGAUGCAGCGACGCCGCGUGAGGGAUGACGGCCUUCGGGUUGUAAACCUCUUUCAGCAGGGAAGAAGCGAAAGUGACGGUACCUGCAGAAGAAGCACCGGCUAACUACGUG
rnacentral:rRNA from 1 species